rnacentral:misc_RNA from 1 species
CUGCGUUCUAUAGGGGUUUCAAGAUCAGGACUUUCUAUAAUAUUUAAUAGGAAUCCAGUUUUGUUGAGUCGAAGUAUAGAACGAUAUCUGAUUCCACUUCAUGAGAUCCUUAAAAGCGUACUUGUUUCUGAUGAGAAAGUAGUUAAGGCCCUGAAACGCAUGGGACGAAUUCUUUGUCUGUACUGCUUUCCAAAAAAUUUAUCACUCUUAAGAGGGCUUGGAGUCUCUCAAUCUUCCAUCUCUUACUUGGUCGCCCAAUCUCCGUCACUAAUGUUCCAAAAAGUGGGCAAGUUUGCUGAAAGGGUUAAUAAGGUUAUGAAACUAGGAUUUGACCCUUC